rnacentral:rRNA from 1 species
GACGAACGCUGGCGGCGUGCUUAACACAUGCAAGUCGAGCGGUAAGGCCCUUUCGGGGGUACGACGAGCGGCGAACGGGUGAGUAACACGUGGGUGACCUGCCCUCAGCUCUGGGAGUAAGCCUGGGAAACCGGGUCUAAUACUGGAUAUGACUCCAUGACGCAUGUUGUGGGGUGGAAAGCCUUGUGCGGCUGAGGAUGGGCCCGCGGCCUAUCAGCUUGUUGGUGGGGUGAUGGCCUACCAAGGCGACGACGGGUAGCCGGCCUGAGAGGGCGACCGGCCACACUGGGACUGAGACACGGCCCAGACUCCUACGGGAGGCAGCAGUGGGGAAUCUUGCGCAAUGGGCGAAAGCCUGACGCAGCGACGCCGCGUGAGGGAUGACGGCCUGGUUGUAAC